rnacentral:rRNA from 1 species
UACAGAGGUCUCAAGCGUUGUUCGGAUUCAUUGGGCGUAAAGGGUGCGUAGGCGGCACGGUAAGUCGGGUGUGAAAUCUCGGAGCUUAACUCCGAAACUGCAUUCGAUACUGCCGUGCUUGAGGACUGGAGAGGAGACUGGAAUUUACGGUGUAGCGGUGAAAUGCGUAGAUAUCGUAAGGAAGGCCGGUGGCGAAAGCGAGCCUCUGGACAGUUACUGACGCUGAUGCACGAAGGCCAGGGGAGCAAACGGG